GGGGAUGUGGCUCAGUGGUAGAGUGCUUGCCUAGCAUGCGUGAGGCACUGGGUUCAAUCCUCAGCACCA
rnacentral:tRNA from 1 species